UACGGAGGGUGCAAGCGUUAUCCGGAUUCACUGGGUUUAAAGGGUGCGUAGGUGGAUUGGAAAGUCAGUGGUGAAAUCUCCGAGCUUAACUCGGAAACUGCCAUUGAUACUAUCAGUCUUGAAUACCGUGGAGGUCAGCGGAAUAUGUCAUGUAGCGGUGAAAUGCAUAGAUAUGACAUAGACCACCAAUUGCGAAGGCAGCUGGCUACACGAAUAUUGAGACUGAGGCACGAAAGCGUGGGGAGCAAACAGG
rnacentral:rRNA from 1 species